GCAGCUAGCUGCCUUGUAGGGCAGGGAGCCAAUUAUUAAGGUGGGGUAAAACGUCAUUAGGAGUCCUGGACUCUCCGUGGGCUGAACCUGUGUGCGGAGCCCCAAGCUUGUCACUGGUAGAGGAGAGCAUCCAGCUAGCUGGAAACAGCCAGGGGUUGGCAGUGAGGACCCUUUAGG
rnacentral:lncRNA from 1 species